UACGUAGGGUGCAAGCGUUAAUCGGAAUUACUGGGCGUAAAGCGUGCGCAGGCGGUUUGUAAGUUUGUCGUGAAAUCCCCGGGCUCAACCUGGGAAUGGCGAUGAAGACUGCAAGGCUAGAAUCUGGCAGAGGGGGGUAGAAUUCCACGUGUGAGCAGUGAAAUGCGUAGAGAUGUGGAGGAACACCGAUGGCGAAGGCAGCCCCCUGGGUCAAGAUUGACGCUCAUGCACGAAAGCGUGGGGAGCAACAAGGAU
rnacentral:rRNA from 1 species